rnacentral:sRNA from 1 species
GCCAGUGUGGUGGUGCACACCUGUAAUCCCAGUAACUUGGGAGGUUGAGGCAGGAGGUUUGCAAGUUUGAGGGCAGCCUCAUCUACUUAGUAAGGCCCUAAGCAAUUAAGCAAGACCCUGUCUCAA